rnacentral:SRP_RNA from 1 species
GGGCAAGUCUUUCACGACCAGCUCCCGCUGAACUCCCCCAGGUCCGGAAGGAAGCAAGGGUAGGCGGUCGUAGCGGUGCGAUGGAAGUAGCUUGCCCCAA